rnacentral:piRNA from 1 species
CAGGAGCAUUGCCCGGAGAGCGCUGAAGAGU